AACGAACGCUGGCGGCAUGCCUAACACAUGCAAGUCGAACGAGACCUUCGGGUCUAGUGGCGCACGGGUGCGUAACGCGUGGGAACCUGCCCUUAGGUUCGGAAUAACUCCCCGAAAGGGGUGCUAAUACCGGAUAAUGUCUUCGGACCAAAGAUUUAUCGCCUUUGGAUGGGCCCGCGUUGGAUUAGCUAGUUGGUAGGGUAAAAGCCUACCAAGGGGACGAUCCAUAGCUGGUCUGAGAGGAUGAUCAGCCACACUGGGACUGAGACACGGCCCAGACUCCUACGGGAGGCAGCAGUGGUGAAUAUUGGACAAUGGGCGAAAGCCUGAUCCAGCAAGGCCGGGUAAGUGAUGAAGGCCUUAGGGUUGUAAAGCUCUUUUACCCGGGAUGAUAAUGACGGUACCGGGAGAAUAAGCUCCGGCUAACUCCGUG
rnacentral:rRNA from 1 species